GUUCUGGGCGGAUGCGUGUUCGGCUUGCGGCCCUUCAUAUUGUUAUUUUCUGGGAGUUUGAGUGACGCUCCGUCGCAAUCUGGUUGCGGAAUUGAAACGCUUUCGUUCGUUACUUGCCGAUCGGCAGCUGGCGUUUAGAUUUGUGGGACUAUUAAUCGUCCGGGUCAACGUUACCAGAAUAGCGGACGUCGGACAGGAACCACCCGGCCGUUAUCGGGAGCAGGUGCUUCUCCCUGGCUUGAAGUCAGGGCAGGUCGAUCACACGCUAACGCUGAUGCACUGUCACGCCGCCCUGAUGCUCCGACGACGCUGUUCGUAGGGGCCGUGAAUAACGACGUUGGCAACAUCCCCACACCCCUCAUCCGCCGUUUCAACUGGCCGUGGUCAAGAUGGGAAACGGAACAGGAGAAGGACCGAGAUCUGGCCCAAGUAGUGUCCUGGCUAGGUAUGGACUCUCCGCCUUGCCCACAGGACAUGAUGGGUAGCAGUCCCGAGUGUUUGCUUUCUGCUUGGCAUAGAUAAGACCAGGACAACUGCGUACCAUCCACAGAGUGACGGUCUGCUUAAAAGAUUCAACCAGACGCUUGAGCGUGGCCUGGCGCACUAUGUCUGCAGGAAUCAUCGAGAUUGGGACAUCAAGUUGCCAGCCUUCUUGAUGGGAUACCGCUCGACGCCGCAGACUAGUACCGGCUACAGUCCAAGCUAUCUACUCUUUGGUCGGGAGUUAUGCCUACCUCAAGACUUGGCAUUUGGAUUACCGCCAGGAGAAGCAUCCGCAGUAUCGUCACAGCCGGAAUUUCGGAGUGCUCUCCGCCGACGCCUGGAGGACGCUCAUGCGCAGGUCCGGGAACACCUGGGCAACGUGCACCGUUAUCAAGCGCAUAUCCGUGAUCGCAACGCUAAGGCCGUGACGUUUGCAGCAGGUGACGCAGUGUGGCUUCUGGUGCCAGCUAUUCCGACGAGUACAACCGCCAAGAUUGCUAGACUUUGGCACGGACCGUACCUAGUCGAGGAGAAGAUCUCAGCCGUCACCUUCCGCAUCAAACUGUCUGAGCCACGGCACGUCGGCUGAUAGUGCACGUCAACCGGCUGAAAAGUUGCCAUCAUCGACCGAGUCGGCUGCAGGAGGUUCACGAGCAAGAUGAGUCGGACCCACCGCAGCCCAUGGCAUCUACCCUGACUCCGUCCUACCAGCCUGAUGCCACUGAUACCGCCGCCGGAGUCGAGGAGGACACCGCUCGGGUAUUUGGCAGUGCUCCGCCAGUUGGCGUGAUGGAAAGGCGAACUCCGCGUUCCCGCCAUCCGCCCCAGCUGUUUGGGAGUCCUGUGUGGCACGAGUAAGUGACUUCAGUGGUAUUGACUGGAUUAGUGGUGGUCGAUAUUACAGUUAGUCUUUGAACAGAUUUUGAUAAGAACUUCUAUUUGACCUGCACUCGUUUAGUUAAAUUGUUAGCCAUAAUCUUAGUCUAUUUUAUAACGUUACUUAUAACACGAGGACGCGUUCUUUUCCGUGUAAGCGGGGGAUAUGUCGUAUCCAUAUUAUUGACACGUGCCUUUUAGGCCUCUAUGUGACAAGUCUGCCUUAUUUAGGUGUCUAAUUAUUUAUCUAUCUCCCAUAAAUGGGUUCAUAAUCGUCUUUAUUUUAUAUCUUCACGCAAGGCCUGGGGCCUUCCUUAUUUGGUAUACGCUGUUAUUUCCCCACCUAGCUCCCGCUCUUUAUGCAACAGUUUGUACACAUAUUUACUACGGUUUGAUACGCUAUUGCAUGCGGGACCAGCAAUCUGGUAGCCAUGGACUUCCAUGGCCGCAAUUGGAUAGUAUUGCCAUCACUUUCCUUUUCUCUCUAUCUCUCUUGCCUUGUGCUCUUCAUUAUCUUCUCUUGAACUAAGUUACAUGUACCCUCCUGUGAAGAUGUGA